CCAGUGUCUGGUCUCAGCUGCUGCAGAACAUCUUCAGGGGGCACUCACAGGUAAGGAGCGGCUCUAGGCCUGAGGCAGGCUGUGUCCAGGAUCGGUAGACUCGGCCAGUGUCUGGUCUCAGCUGCUGCAGAACAUCUUCAGGGGGCACUCACAGGUAAGGAGCGGCUCUAGGCCUGAGGCAGGCUGUGUCCAGGAUCGGUAGACUCGGCCAGUGUCUGGUCUCAGCUGCUGCAGAACAUCUUCAGGGGGCACUCACAGGUAAGGAGCGGCUCUAGGCCUGAGGCAGGCUGUGUCCAGGAUCGGUAGACUCGGCCAGUGUCUGGUCUCAGCUGCUGCAGAACAUCUUCAGGGGGCACUCACAGGUAAGGAGCGGCUCUAGGGUGUCCAGGAUUGGUAGACUCUGCCAGUGUCUGGUCUCAGCACUCACAGGUAAGGAGCGGCUCUAGGCCUGAGGCAGGCUGUGUCCAGGAUCGGUAGACUCGGCCAGUGUCUGGUCUCAGCUGCUGCAGAACAUCUUCAGGGGGCACUCACAGGUAAGGAGCGGCUCUAGGGUGUCCAGGAUUGGUAGACUCUGCCAGUGUCUGGUCUCAGCACUCACAGGUAAGGAGCGGCUCUAGGCCUGAGGCAGGCUGUGUCCAGGAUCGGUAGACUCGGCCAGUGUCUGGUCUCAGCUGCUGCAGAACAUCUUCAGGGGGCACUCGCAGGUAAGGAGCGGCUCUAGGCCUGAGGCAGGCUGUGUCCAGGAUCGGUAGACUCGGCCAGUGUCUGGUCUCAGCUGCUGCAGAACAUCUUCAGGGGGCACUCACAGGUAAGGAGCGGCUGUAGGCCUGAGGCAGGCUGUAUCCAGGAUCGGUAGACUCGGCCAGUGUCUGGUCUCAGCUGCUGCAGAACAUCUUCAGGGGGCACUCACAGGUAAGGAGCGGCUCUAGGGUGUCCAGGAUUGGUAGACUCUGCCAGUGUCUGGUCUCAGCACUCACAGGUAAGGAGCGGCUGUAGGCCUGAGGCAGGCUGUAUCCAGGAUCGGUAGACUCGGCCAGUGUCUGGUCUCAGCUGCUGCAGAACAUCUUCAGGGGGCACUCACAGGUAAGGAGCGGCUGUAGGCCUGAGGCAGGCUGUAUCCAGGAUCGGUAGACUCGGCCAGUGUCUGGUCUCAGCUGCUGCAGAACAUCUUCAGGGGGCACUCACAGGUAAGGAGCGGCUCUAGGGUGUCCAGGAUCGGUAGACUCUGCCAGUGUCUGGUCUCAGCACUCACAGGUAAGGAGCGGCUCUAGGCCUGAGGCAGGCUGUGUCCAGGAUCGGUAGACUCGGCCAGUGUCUGGUCUCAGCUGCUGCAGAACAUCUUCAGGGGGCACUCACAGGUAAGGAGCGGCUCUAGGGUGUCCAGGAUUGGUAGACUCUGCCAGUGUCUGGUCUCAGCACUCACAGGUAAGGAGCGGCUCUAGGCCUGAGGCAGGCUGUGUCCAGGAUCGGUAGACUCGGCCAGUGUCUGGUCUCAGCUGCUGCAGAACAUCUUCAGGGGGCACUCGCAGGUAAGGAGCGGCUCUAGGCCUGAGGCAGGCUGUGUCCAGGAUCGGUAGACUCGGCCAGUGUCUGGUCUCAGCUGCUGCAGAACAUCUUCAGGGGGCACUCACAGGUAAGGAGCGGCUGUAGGCCUGAGGCAGGCUGUAUCCAGGAUCGGUAGACUCGGCCAGUGUCUGGUCUCAGCUGCUGCAGAACAUCUUCAGGGGGCACUCACAGGUAAGGAGCGGCUCUAGGGUGUCCAGGAUUGGUAGACUCUGCCAGUGUCUGGUCUCAGCACUCACAGGUAAGGAGCGGCUGUAGGCCUGAGGCAGGCUGUAUCCAGGAUCGGUAGACUCGGCCAGUGUCUGGUCUCAGCUGCUGCAGAACAUCUUCAGGGGGCACUCACAGGUAAGGAGCGGCUGUAGGCCUGAGGCAGGCUGUAUCCAGGAUCGGUAGACUCGGCCAGUGUCUGGUCUCAGCUGCUGCAGAACAUCUUCAGGGGGCACUCACAGGUAAGGAGCGGCUCUAGGCCUGAGGCAGGCUGUGUCCAGGAUCGGUAGACUCGGCCAGUGUCUGGUCUCAGCUGCUGCAGAACAUCUUCAGGGGGCACUCACAGGUAAGGAGCGGCUCUAGGCCUGAGGCAGGCUGUGUCCAGGAUCGGUAGACUCGGGCAGCCCCUGUGUCCGCUCUCAGCCUCUGCACUUGCU